rfam:Myotis lucifugus cont2.60395, whole genome shotgun sequence.
GCCGGUGUGGCUCAGUGAGUAGAGCGUCGGCCUGUGAACCGAAGGGUCCCGGGUUCGAUUCCAGUCAAAGGCA